rnacentral:rRNA from 1 species
GUCUUUUUGAGUAUGAUUUAAAGUCGGUCCUGCCCAAUGAUUAUUUUAAUGGCCGCAGUAUAUUGACUGUGCAAAGGUAGCAUAAUCAUUAGUUCUUUAAAUGGGAACUGGAAUGAAUGGUUUGACGAAAGUUUUUCUGUCUCAAGCUUAUAAUAUGAAUUUUAUUUUUAAGUUAAAAAGCUUAAAUUUUUUUAUAAGACGAGAAGACCCUAUAGAGUUUUAUUUUAAAAUAUUUUCCUAUUUUAUAUUGUUUAUUUAUUUUAAAAUUUUGUUGGGGUGAUAGAAAAAUUUGAUUAACUUUUUUUUUAUUGUUUUACUUUUUGUAUAUAUUUGAUCCUUUAUAAGAUUAUAAGAUUAAAUUACCUUAGGGAUAACAGCGUAAUUAUUUUUGAGAGUUCAAAUCGAAAAAGUAGUUUGCGAUCAAAUCGAAAAAGUAGUUUGCGAAAUUAUUUUUGAGAGUUCAAAUCGAAAAAGUAGUUUGCGAUCAAAUCGAAAAAGUAGUUUGCGA